rnacentral:SRP_RNA from 1 species
GCUGGGCGCAGUGGCACAUGCCUGUAGUCCCAGCUACUCGGGAGGCUGAGGGGGGGGGAAUUGCUUGAGCCCAGGAGUUCUGGGCUGUAGUGCGCUAUGCUGAUCAGGUGUCUGCACUAAGUUCAGCAUCAAUAUGGUGACCUCCUGAGAGCAGUGGACCACCAAGUUGCCUAAGAAGGGGUGAACCGGCCCAGGUCGGAAACGGAGCAGGUCAAAACUCUCGUGCUGAUCAGUAGUGGGAUCGCACCUGUGAAUGGCAACUGAACUCCAGCCUGGGCAACAUAGCGAGACCCCAUCUCU